GCCAGCAGCCAUAUCACUCUGCAAAUCACAACUAGCAGCCCACUGAAGCUAAGCAAGUGUGAGCCUGGUCAGUACUUGAAUGGGAGACCUCCUUGGAAAAACAAAAGGUUGCUGCUGGAA
rnacentral:rRNA from 1 species